rnacentral:rRNA from 1 species
CCUACGGGUGGCUGCAGUGAGGAAUAUUGGUCAAUGGGCGAGAUCCUGAACCAGCCAAGUAGCGUGAGGGAUGACUGCCCUACGGGUUGUAAACUUCUUUUGUAAAGGAAUAAAGUGAGGCACGUGUGCCUUUUUGUUUGUACUUUAUGAAUAAGCAUCGGCUAACUCCGUGCCAGCAGCCGCGGUAAUAUGGAGGAUUCGAGCGUUAUCCGGUUUUAUUGGGUUUAAAGGGAGCGUAGAGGGGUUGUUAAGGCAGUUGGGAAAGUUUGCGGCUAAACCGUAAGAUUGCAAUUGAAACUGGCAGCCUUGAGUACAGUUGAGGUAGGCGGAAUGCGUGGUGUAGCGGUGAAAUGCUUAGAGAUCACGAAGAACUCCGAUUGCGAAGGCAGCCUACUAAACUGCCACUGACAUUGAGGCUCGAAAGUGUGGGUAUCAAACAGGAUUAGAUACCCGUGUAGUC